CGGUUCCAUCCAUCCCAUCCCCACGCUCUACUCUACGCUUGGACCUCGCCCUCGCUCCUCUCUACUCCUGGCACCGGGCGAAGUUUCCGCGAAGCUUCCUCGCCGGUUUAAUUUGGUCCUUAACCACGUAUAAAAGGCGGCGGCGACGCCGACGCCGGCGCGUAGCUGGGGAAUUAUCCUGUAUUCUUGUUAUUGACGGAUGAUGAAGAAACCAAAGCCUGCCGGCGAUGACGGUGCCCACGGCCUCCGGCAUCCACCGCAGCGGUGCCCGCCGCUGGUCGGACCGGGGCGACGCGAGCAUGGCCGGGUGCGGUGGGUGAUGUCGGGAGCCACGCGCAUCCGCCGGCGCCGGAACGCGGCAAGGUGAGUGGGUGGAGCUGGCCGUCUGGGUGGUAACUAGGGCGGCAAAGGAGGGGAAGCGGCGGCGGCGGCACCGACGUCCUCCGUGUACUGUGGAGUAUGAUGGCACAGAUCCCGUGAAGACGACUCUCGGUACUGUAAUCCCUCCUCUCUCCUCCUGUUGCUCCUCGAUCUCUUCUUGCAGGAUCUGGAGGAUUUGUUUUUUCAUAAAGCAGAAUACCAGAACACAGUACCUUCUGCGGCUCGUAACGCCUCUCUCUCUCUCUCUGUUCAUAAAGAAAUAUUGUAAAACCUAACUCUUUAGAAAAUAUUUUAUUUUUCGUCGAUCUCCUCUUCUCCCUCAUUGUUUGUUCACAACGUACGUAGUGCGCCAGCAGUUGCAUCCGAUCAGCUGAUGAUGACUUAGGUGGCAAUGGUAGUCCUUUCUUUAGGAUUCUUUUCUUACGUCUUGCCUCCUCGUGUGUGUCGCCACCCUAUUCGCUGGCCGGCCGGUCGUUCAACGAUCACCCCUAGCUUUCUCCGUGUUUGAAUUUGCAUCCCGCGAGUUGCAAAAAAUUCCAGUCCGUGGAUAAUCAAUCAGAGGAGUGGUGGACCACCACGUGUGCUGCUAGCUUCACCGAGACCACACAGCGCGUUAGCUGCCCCCGGUGUGAUUGUGCUAGGUUAACCAAAGAUUAGUGGUGUUAACCCUCAACUUAGAGAAACCCUGCUGCGCGAGAGCUGGCUGUCGGUAGCUAUGGGCUACUGCCACAGCUAUAACUAACGCGUUUCAAAUUGCAGAUCGUUUUCGAUAACUUAGAGAUGCAUAAUUGUUGCUAUGCAUCUAAAUACAAUAUUUAUCUAGAUGCAUAAUAAAAACUAUAUAUCCUAUCUAGAUUUUUCAAAAUAACCCACAUUUUAGAAUGGAGGGAGUACUUCGUAUGCUCCUAAUUGUAGGUGGUUUUAGCAAAUUUAGAUAUAUAAUUUUUACUAUAUAUAUCUAGAUACAGUAUAUACGUAGGUGCAUAACAAUAACAAAAGCAAUGUAUCUAGAAAUUCUAAAGCAACAUAUAAUUUGAAACGGAGAAGUAAUGUACUAUUUCAAGAAGACACUGUGCGGAAUACAUGCAUGGUUCCAUGAAGUCAGUAGCGCAGGCCGUGAGAGACCGCUUCGUUGCAGACUUGCAGCUGAAAAACAUGCGG